GUCAAUGGAUAGGAUCUCUUUCUUUGUUAAAAUGAAUAAAUGAGUUUUUAUUUAUUUAGUUGACAUAACACUGAUUUAUAAGAUUGCCUAAGUUGUGUCAGUACUUGGUGUUUGCUAAUCGGCUUUUUGUCUUUUUUGGAAUUUGAAUUGCCUUACACUUUGUUCAGUUCCUGGCAAAGAGGGAAUGGUGCAUGGAUGAUCGUGUAAUGCCUGAGCCUUGAGUACAAAAUAAAGACUGGUCUUCAGGGCACCCAUGCCUAUCCCUAGGAUGUUAGAGUAAAUUUGAUCAGUCUACUCAGGUAAGACAGCUUAUCCAGGUGUGAGUAAACACCGCUUUCCUUUCCCUGAGCUGGAAUCAAGAGCAAGAAUCAUGCAGGAUUGUUGCAUCAGAUGCUGUGUUCCUGCUCUAGGGAUGAGCUCUGUCCCUCCCCCUCAGCUUGCUUCCUGAGAGGACCCAGUGGAGCAGAAGCACUUUCUGGGCCACAGCUCCCCCAGAGCUGGGUCCUGUUGGCUGGUGUCAGUGUUGCUGUUCAGACCCCAUGGCCUCCCAACUUUGAAAUCCCAUCAGGUAAGUAUCCAAUGAUCUGUCUUAACCACAGUGACUCACUGAGUCUUUAGAUACCCAGUGGCUGGUACCUGUUUCCCUCA
rnacentral:lncRNA from 1 species